GGAGACAUAGCUCAGCUGGGAGAGCGAGCGACUGAAGUUCAGUCAUCAGACCUGGCGUGGAUCAAAAUAUGGUUCACGCUUGGACAUCGCUAGGUCGGGUGUUCAAUCCACUCUGGCUCCA